ACGCUCGACACCUACGCAGCAGUAGGGAAUCUUCCACAAUGGACGCAAGUCUGAUGGAGCAACGCCGCGUGAGUGAAGAAGGUCUUCGGAUCGUAAAACUCUGUUGUUAGAGAAGAACACGAGUGAGAGUAACUGUUCAUUCGAUGACGGUAUCUAACCAGCAAGUCACGGCUAACUACGUGCCAGCAGCCGCGGUAAUCUGAGCGGGCUGGCAAGGC
rnacentral:rRNA from 1 species